AGGAGGAACAGCCCCAGUGGCGGGGCAAGCUCUGGAAACCUGGAUUCAGCUCCGGCAGGAACUCCGUCUGCAGGGCCUGGAGGCUCCGGGCGGGG
rnacentral:pre_miRNA from 1 species